rnacentral:lncRNA from 1 species
AUUCCUUUACCAACUUAUGGACAGAAAUUAAGUUGUGUGUGAAAGAAGGAAUUAACAGUACACCAUGAAGAACAAUAGAAGAAGUCAAUUGGAAGGAGCCUGUGCAUAUUACUUUUACUUUGUAUCCAUUAGGAAGGGUCACAAGAUAAGGAACAUAUAAAGGUGUAAGGUUAAAAAGCAGUUGUUUGUCAUAUGAUUAGAUGCACCAGAAUCUAUUAUCCAAGACACAGAAAUACUAGUAAGCAUGCAAACUUUGGAAUCAGAAACUGGGCUCUCAGUUAGCAUAGUACCAGC